GACGUAGGUCCCGAGCGUUGUCCGGAUUUAUUGGGCGUAAAGCGAGCGCAGGUGGUUUAAUAAGUCUGAUGUAAAAGGCAGUGGCUCAACCAUUGUGUGCAUUGGAAACUGUUAGACUUGAGUGCAGUAGAGGAGAGUGGAAUUCCAUGUGUAGCGGUGAAAUGCGUAGAUAUAUGGAGGAACACCGGUGGCGAAAGCGGCUCUCUGGACUGUAACUGACACUGAGGCUCGAAAGCGUGGGUAGCAAACAGG
rnacentral:rRNA from 1 species